rnacentral:rRNA from 1 species
CGGCGAGUGAAGCGGCAACAGCUCAAAUUUGAAAUCUGGCGUCUUUGGCGUCCGAGUUGUAAUUUGCAGAGGGCGCUUUGGCAUCGGCAGCGGUCCAAGUUCCUUGGAACAGGACGUCACAGAGGGUGAGAAUCCCGUACGUGAUCGCUAGCCUUUACCGUGUAAAGCCCCUUCGACGAGUCGAGUUGUUUGGGAAUGCAGCUCUAAAUGGGAGGUAAAUUUCUUCUAAAGCUAAAUACUGGCCAGAGACCGAUAGCGCACAAGUAGAGUGAUCGAAAGAUGAAAAGCACUUUGGAAAGAGAGUUAAAAAGCACGUGAAAUUGUUGAAAGGGAAGCGCUUGCAGCCAGACUUGCCUGUAGUUGCUCAUCCGGGUUUCUACCCGGUGCACUCUUCUAUAGGCAGGCCAGCAUCAGUUUGGGCGGUUGGAUAAAGGUCUCUGUCAUGUACCUCUCUUCGGGGAGAACUUAUAGGGGAGACGACAUGCAACCAGCCCGGAC